CUGAUGGCGACCUCUGACCUCUCUGCUAAGCAGCUGUCUGCAGGAUGCAACUGUCCCCUAGGUUACUUCGUGAAGCAGUGCGGCAGCAGAAAGGGAAUCAUCAUGUUCACAGGAACAGAAUGUAAACUCUGCUCCGAAUGUUCAGAUGAUCAGGUGAUCUUGGAGCCGUGCUCUAUGUUUGCUGACUCGCGAUGUGGAAACAAAAGCUCACCAGACUUCAUGACGGCUCCCACACCGACUGGAACUCCAGUCUCUACUCCUGGAAACUGGAUCAUCCUCGCUGUGAUAUUUGUUGCUGUUUCCAUGAUCCUGCUGCUCGGUAUGCUCGUCCUGCUGAAGCUCUGCUGCAGAAACCACCAGCGAGAGAGGACCCUAACCCUCCCGACCCACAACAAGCCUCUACUGCUGGACAACAAGACCCUCCCGACCCACAACAAGCCUCUACUGCUGGACAACAAGACCCUCCCGACCCACAACAAGCCUCUACUGCUGGACAACAAGACCCUCCCGACCCACAACAAGCCUCUACUGCUGGACAACAAGACCCUCCCGACCCACAACAACACCUUCCUACUCGAGAGCAAACCUGUACCAUCUCAUGAAAAGCUCCUCUUGCCUAUAGCACAAGAAGUUCCACCUAAUCAGCAACGAGCCCCUCCCUCCUCAUGAGAAGUUCCUGCCCUGAAGUUUAGGUACAGUUCAGAUGAAGUCCAGGUGUAGUCCUGGUGUAGUCCAGGUACAGUUCAGAUGAAGUCCAGGGAUAGUCCAGGUACAGUUCAGAUGAAGUCCAGGUGUAGUCCAGGUGUAGUCCAGGUACAGUUCAGAUGAAGUCCAGGGAUAGUCCAGGUACAGUUCAGAUGAAGUCCAGGGAUAGUCCUGGUGUAGUCCAGGUACAGUUCAGAUGAAGUCCAGGUGUAGUCCAUGGAUAGUCCAGGUGUAGUCCAGGGAUAGUCCAGGUGUAGUCCAGGUGUAGUCCAGGGAUAGUCCAGGUGUAGUCCAGGUUUAGUCCAGGGAUAGUCCAGGUAUAGUCCUGGUGUAGUCCUGGUGUAGUCCAGGGAUAGUCCAGGUACAGUUCAGAUGAAGUCCAGGGAUAGUCCUGUUGUAGUCCAGGUACAGUUCAGAUGAAGUCCAGGUGUAAUCCAGGGAUAGUCCAGGGAUAGUCCAGGUGUAGUCCAGGGAUAGUCCAGGUAUAGUCCUGGUGUAGUCCAGGGAUAGUCCAGGGAUAGUCCAGGUGUAGUCCAGGGAUAGUCCAGGUAUAGUCCUGGUGUAGUCCAGGUAUAGUCCUGGUGUAGUCCAGGGAUAGUCCAGGUAUAGUCCUGGUGUAGUCCAGGUAUAGUCCUGGUGUAGUCCAGGGAUAGUCCAGGUGUAGUCCAGGGAUAGUCCAGGUGUAGUCUUGGUGUAGUCCAGGGAUAGUCCAGGUGUAGUCUUGGUGUAGUCCAGGGAUAGUCCUGGUGUAGUCCAGGGAUAGUCUUGGUGUAGUCCUGGUGUAGUCCAGGGAUAGUCCAGGUGUAGUCCUGGUGUAGUCCAGGGAUAGUCCAGGUAUAGUCCUGGUGUAGUCCAGGGAUAGUCCAGGUGUAGUCCAGGUGUAGUCCAGGUGUAGUCCAGGGCUCCGGCCCUUAUUGUCGAACACCUGACUUGAAUGAGCCUAACAAAUGAGAUCGGGCUGAAGCGGUUCCAUAAAGGCUGAUCCACGCUCACGCAG